GGGUCGUUAGCUCAGCCGGUAGAGCACUGCACUUUUAAUGCGGUUGUCGCGCGUUCGAGCCGCGCACGACCCACCA
rnacentral:tRNA from 1 species